UACGUAGGGUGCAAGCGUUGUCCGGAAUUACUGGGCGUAAAGAGCUCGUAGGUGGUUUGUCGCGUUGUUCGUGAAAACUCACAGCUUAACUGUGGCGUGCGGUCGAUACGGGCAUCACUGGAGUUCGGCAGGGGAGACUGGAAGUUCCUGGUGUAGCGGUGAAAUGCGCAGAGUAGUCAGGAGGAACACCGGUGGCGAAGGCGGGUCUCUGGGCAGUAACUGACGCUGGAGGAGCGAAAGCCGGUGGGGAGCGAACAGG
rnacentral:rRNA from 1 species